CAGCCGCCGCGGGAAUACGAAGGGUGCAAGCGUUAAUCGGAAUUACUGGGCGUAAAGCGUGCGUAGGCGGUUCGUUAAGUCUGUUGUGAAAUCCCCGGGCUCAACCUGGGAAUGGCAAUGGAUACUGGCAAGCUAGAGUGUGUCAGAGGAUGGUGGAAUUCCCGGUGUAGCGGUGAAAUGCGUAGAGAUCGGGAGGAACAUCAGUGGCGAAGGCGGCCAUCUGGGACAACACUGACGCUGAGGCACGAAAGCGUGGGGAGCAAACAGGAUUAGAUACCCCUGUAGUCCCUGUCUCUUAUAC
rnacentral:rRNA from 1 species